rnacentral:piRNA from 1 species
UGAUUCCUCUUGAGUUCUCCAUGGAUC